rnacentral:rRNA from 1 species
UACGUAGGGUCCGAGCGUUGUCCGGAUUUAUUGGGCGGAAAGAGCUCGUAGGCGGUUUCGUAAGUCAGAUGUGAAAACUCAGGGCUCAACCCGGAGACGCCAUCUGAUACUGCGGUGACUGGAGUCUGGUAGGGGAACACGGAAUUCCUGGUGUAGCGGUGAAAUGCGCAGAUAUCAGGAGGAACACCGAUGGCGAAGGCAGUGUUCUGGGCCAGUACUGACGCUGAGGAGCGAAAGCGUGGGGAGCAAACAGG